CGGCGAACGGGUGAGUAACGCGUGGAUUAUCUGCCCUGAGGUGGGGGAUAACCCGGGGAAACUCGGGCUAAUACCGCAUAGGACCGUGAGGUCAAAGGGGGGUCGCAAGAUCUCUCGCCAUAGGAGGAGUCCGCGUACGAUUAGCUAGUUGGUAGGGUAAUGGCCUACCAAGGCGACGAUCGUUAGCCGGCCUGAGAGGGUGAUCGGCCACACUGGAACUGAGACACGGCCCAG
rnacentral:rRNA from 1 species